rnacentral:rRNA from 1 species
AAGGCUUCGGCCUUAGUGGCGCACGGGUGCGUAACGCGUGGGAAUCUGCCCCUGGGUUCGGAAUAACAGCGAGAAAUUGCUGCUAAUACCGGAUGAUGACGUAAGUCCAAAGAUUUAUCGCCCAGGGAUGAGCCCGCGUAGGAUUAGCUAGUUGGUGGGGUAAAGGCUCACCAAGGCGACGAUCCUUAGCUGGUCUGAGAGGAUGAUCAGCCACACUGGGACUGAGACACGGCCCAGACUCCUACGGGAGGCAGCAGUGGGGAAUAUUGGACAAUGGGCGCAAGCCUGAUCCAGCAAUGCCGCGUGAGUGAUGAAGGCCUUAGGGUUGUAAAGCUCUUUUACCCGGGAUGAUAAUGACAGUACCGGGAGAAUAAGCUCCGGCUAACUCCGUGCCAGCAGCCGCGGUAAUACGGAGGGAGCUAGCGUUAUUCGGAAUUACUGGGCGUAAAGCGCACGUAGGCGGCUUUGUAAGUUAGAGGUGAAAGCCUGGAGCUCAACUCCAGAAUUGCCUUUAAGACUGCAUCGCUUGAAUCCAGGAGAGGUGAGUGGAAUUCCGAGUGUAGAGGUGAAAUUCGUAGAUAUUCGGAAGAACACCAGUGGCGAAGGCGGCUCACUGGACUGGUAUUGACGCUGAGGUGCGAAAGCGUGGG